rnacentral:rRNA from 1 species
CAUUACAGUGACCCCGGUCUAACCACCGGGAUGUUCAUAACCCUUUGUUGUCCGACUCUGUUGCCUCCGGGGCGACCCUGCCUUCGGGCGGGGGCUCCGGGUGGACACUUCAAACUCUUGCGUAACUUUGCAGUCUGAGUAAAUUUAAUUAAUAAAUUAAAACUUUUAACAACGGAUCUCUUGGUUCUGGCAUCGAUGAAGAACGCAGCGAAAUGCGAUAAGUAAUGUGAAUUGCAGAAUUCAGUGAAUCAUCGAAUCUUUGAACGCACAUUGCGCCCCCUGGUAUUCCGGGGGGCAUGCCUGUUCGAGCGUCAUUUCACCACUCAAGCCUCGCUUGGUAUUGGGCAACGCGGUCCGCCGCGUGCCUCAGAUCGACCGGCUGGGUCUUCUGUCCCCUAAACGUUGUGGAAACUAUUCGCUAAAGGGUGCUCGGGAGGCUACGCCGUAAAACAAACCCAUUUCUAAGGUUGACCUCGGAUCAGGUAGGGAUACCCGCUGAACUUAAGCUUAUCAAUAAGAGGAGGAA